rnacentral:rRNA from 16 species
GAAAGUUGGGGGCUCGAAGACGAUCAGAUACCGUCCUAGUCUCAACCAUAAACGAUGCCGACAACAGAUCGGCGGAUGUUGCUUAUAGGACUCUGCCGGCACCUUAUGAGAAAUCAAAGUCUUUGGGU